rnacentral:misc_RNA from 1 species
UCCCACAGGUGGAUAUUAUCCAGGUAGGCUUCUUACGAAUUAUUUUUUUUUGGGAUUCUUCUAAUCCGGUAUUUGGUAUUACAAGGUCAAGAUUGGAAAUCUGCUCCCUUUGGGGCAAAGGAUGAGCCUUUUUAGAAAAUAUGGUUAUUUAUUUAUUAAUAUAUUCUUUACUCAUAUUGUUUUAUUAAAAUUAAAUAUUUUAUAUUAUAUAAAGGAAUCAAUUUUAUUUAGAAUAAACAAAAAAAGUAAGUUUAUUUUAAUGGGACGGAGAAAAGACUGAAUCAGGCACUUUUUCUUUGUUUUCGGAGCAAUAAAGCUGAAGCUCCACUUUUGUUUGUAGGUUGGUCUAUCAUUUAUGUUGCAUACAUGUGGCUUUUGGUUAAUUCUUUGUUUAUUGGACACCAUGUUGAAAUUAAAAUGGUAUUGGAAUGAUCUUAAGCCUAAUUUUUGCAAGUUUGGUUGCUUCCGUUUUAUGACAUGACAAUGAUACCACAACCUGCAUUUUGACAAUAUUGUCAAUAACAAUGGCGAGUUGUGAGAUUCUGG